rnacentral:rRNA from 1 species
UAGGGAAUCUUCCACAAUGGACGAAAGUCUGAUGGAGCAACGCGCGUGAGUGAAGAAGGGUUUCGGCUCGUAAAGCUCUGUUGGUAGUGAAGAAAGAUAGAGGUAGUAACUGGCCUUUAUUUGACGGUAAUUACUUAGAAAGUCACGGCUAACUACGUGCC